CCUACGGGAGGCAGCAGUGAGGAAUAUUGGUCAAUGGGCGAGAGCCUGAACCAGCCAAGUCGCGUGAGGGAGUACUGCCCUAUGGGUUGUAAACCUCUUUUGUCGGGGAGCAAAAGCCGGACGUGUCCGGCUGUGAGAGUACCCGACGAAAAAGCAUCGGCUAACUCCGUGCCAGCAGCCGCGGUAAUACGGAGGAUGCGAGCGUUAUCCGGAUUUAUUGGGUUUAAAGGGUGCGCAGGCGGAUUUUUAAGUCAGCGGUAAAAUCGUGGGGCUCAACCCCAUCCAGCCGUUGAAACUGGGGAUCUAGAGUGUGCGAGAGGUAUGCGGAAUGCGUGGUGUAGCGGUGAAAUGCAUAGAUAUCACGCAGAACCCCGAUUGCGAAGGCAACAUACCGGUGCACAACUGACGCUCAGGCACGAAAGCGUGGGUAUCGAACAGGAUUAGAUACCCGUGUAGUC
rnacentral:rRNA from 1 species